AUCUACUCACCAGCAGGCGUGCCAGCAGUGUCUGGGGAGUCAGCAGUGGGCCUGUGGGGAGAAUGAAGUGCUGAGUGAGAUGACGAGACACGCUGUGCUCCCCCACGUGCACCUCCGCUGUCCAUUCUUGGUGCCGUCACGGGUCAACAGAGCUCACUGGGGGAGUUUCUGCUCCUACCUUGAAACAUGGAGCUGAGGAAAUGGGGAUCCAGGUCUUCUA
rnacentral:lncRNA from 1 species